GAUGAACGCUGGCGGCGUGCCUAAUACAUGCAAGUCGAGCGAACAGACGAGGAGCUUGCUCCUCUGACGUUAGCGGCGGACGGGUGAGGAACACGUGGAUAACCUACCUAUAAGACUGGGAUAACUUCGGGAAACCGGAGCUAAUACCGGAUAAUAUAUUGAACCGCAUGGUUCAAUAGUGAAAAACGGUUUUGCUGUCACUUAUAGAUGGAUCCGCGCCGCAUUAGCUAGUUGGUAAGGUAACGGCUUACCAAGGCAACGAUGCGUAGCCGACCUGAGAGGGUGAUCGGCCACACUGGAACUGAGACACGGUCCAGACUCCUACGGGAGGCAGCAGUAGGGAAUCUUCCGCAAUGGGCGAAAGCCUGACGGAGCCACGCCGCGUGAGUGAUGAAGGUCUUCGGAUCGUAAAACUCUGUUAUUAGGGAAGAACAAAUGUGUAAGUAACUAUGCACGUCUUGACGGUACCUACUCAGAAAGCCACGGCUAACUACGUG
rnacentral:rRNA from 1 species